UCUCCAGCAGGUGGCAGUGGAGGGCUUUUCCUCCAGCAGUGCACACCUGCUGCCAAUUGCAUCAUCCUGUUCAGGCAAGUAUUGAAGGACUGCCAAGAUCCCAUGUCUCUGUUGGCUUAUUGACUUUAUUAUUGCUCUUGCUCAAGGGUUGUUUUUGAGACCUCUCAUUGUCGUUUUUUGCUCUCAAGCCUCUCGCCGCAAACGCAGCUAAUUGGGACCCAGGUGCGGCAUGGAACGGGUCAUCCAGGACUUCCUGCGAGAGGGGCGCAGAUGCAACGGCAGCACCUUGGGACGACCGGGCUGCUGAUUAAUGUCGCCCCCCUACAUGAUAGAUCUCCACGCAAAGUAGAAGCCGUUUAAUCUCCUCCGCGACGGCUCGGAAGGGGCUCAUCUCUCUCGCUGGGCCGUGAAUUAUCGCCCUCACCUGUCAUCGGAUUCCAGCGGCCGGCCAGAACACUUUCAGAAGCACUGAGCGAUAUUCCCAAGCUGACCUAAUAAGAGUCCAUCGGCUGCCACGGGAGUAAUACCGUCGAAAAAAGCGGCGGCGAUAGUGUGAUCUGGCAAGAGAAAGAAGCCGUCUCGCUUGGGCGCAUCUGGUGCCGUUCUCGCCAUCUUCCAGGAAGGUUGUUAUUUCUGGGAACGCGGCCCACCGGUAAGUCCGUAGAACAUCCCGAACGGCACGGACGCUCCGCGGAUUCCUCCAGAGCGCUGGAGCGUGCACAGGGUACAAAAACAAAAAAACAGCCCAAAGAAACCCUCCUGUACUAAAAAGUGCAUUUAUUUUUUUACUGUCAGUUAUUUACAAGACUCAUGAUAAAUUUGCCACAACGAAAAAAUAACUUUGAGCCAAAAAUGGCUACCAGCAGACAACCUGUCACGACAUCUUUCAAAGUUGCAUUUCCAAACCCUGCAAAACCAACCAACCAAAUAAAAAUGGAUUAAUUUCCAAAAACCUAUCAAUGCCAUACGCAUUUUCCUGUCGUCGUCGCCUUCCGGCUGGCACGCAACACUUGAAGGUCACCUCAUGUUGUUUUGGGGAUCGUUUGCCCUCAAGAAACCAACUUUUGACUCCUGAUAACUUCGAAAAACUUACUUUAACACGUAUUAGACAGCCCUCUUAAAAAAAAAAA